GUUGCUUUUGAAGAACUUGAGGAUUCCUAUUAUCCUGAAUUUGGCUGGAGUGGAAUCAGCAUUAUUGAUUCUCAUAAUUUUGUCUCUGUGAAUCGCUAUAGAAGAAGUCUAAUUUUUUAUGCUGAUCAAAAUGUUAGUAGGUUCAUUUCGUUAGCGCAUUGCCCUAGUUCAGUUUGUACUCUUGACUUUGAGCAAAGCAGUAAUACUCUCACGGCCGUUACAGAAUUUAAUCAAGUUAGUAUUUGGGACCAUCGACUUUCCGAAAAGGAAGGGCACGUGUCGCAGCUUAUGCCUGGAAAUAAAGAACUUUUUACUUCCGCUGGGAAUCGUCAAGCCCUUGCGGUUGCAGGAAAAGACAGAAAUGUUUAUAUUUAUGACCCACGCAAGUGGGCUGUUCGUAGUGUUUGGAAAUCGGCCUUGAAACACGAGAUUUUACGUGUUUUUCUAUCUGAAGCACGAAAUGGUUUUUGCUAUGCAUUCGGCAAAAUUGACGGAGAGUUUGCUUGUACCUCUUUGUCUAGAGAAGACUCGAACACUUCUCAAUCAAAAACUUUUGAUAACUUCCGUGCUGAAAGUCGUUGGAUUGG